rnacentral:rRNA from 1 species
CGCGGCCUAUCAGCUUGUUGGUGGGGUGAUGGCCUACCAAGGCGACGACGGGUAGCCGGCCUGAGAGGGCGACCGGCCACACUGGGACUGAGACACGGCCCAGACUCCUACGGGAGGCAGCAGUGGGGAAUAUUGCACAAUGGGCGGAAGCCUGAUGCAGCGACGCCGCGUGAGGGAUGACGGCCUUCGGGUUGUAAACCUCUUUCAGCAGGGACGAAGCGUAAGUGACGGUACCUGCAGAAGAAGCGCCGGCCAACUACGUGCCAGCAGCCGCGGUAAGACGUAGGGCGCGAGCGUUGUCCGGAUUUAUUGGGCGUAAAGAGCUCGUAGGCGGCUUGUCGCGUCGACUGUGAAAUCCCGUGGCUCAACUGCGGGUCUGCAGUCGAUACGGGCAGGCUAGAGUUCGGUAGGGGAGGCUGGAAUUCCUGGUGUAGCGGUGAAAUGCGCAGAUAUCAGGAGGAACACCGGUGGCGAAGGCGGGUCUCUGGGCCGAUACUGACGCUGAGGAGCGAAAGCGUGGGGAGCGAACAGGAUUAGAUACCCUGGUAGUCCACGCUGUAAACGUUGGGCGCUAGGUGUGGGGGGCCGCUCCGGUUCUCUGUGCCGCAGCUAACGCAUUAAGCGCCCCGCCUGGGGAGUACGG